rnacentral:tRNA from 1 species
CGCGGGGCAGCGCAGUGGCAGCGUGCCGGGCUCAUAACCCAGAGGUCGGCGGUUCGAAUCCGUUUCCCGCAUCCA